AGAGUUUGAUUAUGGCUCAGGAUGAACGCUAGCUACAGGCUUAACACAUGCAAGUCGAGGGGCAGCAUUGAGAUAGCUUGCUAUUCAGAUGGCGACCGGCGCACGGGUGAGUAACGCGUAUCCAACCUUCCCCUUAGUAGGGGAUAGCCCGGUGAAAAUCGGAUUAAUACCCUAUGUUGUUCGAAGCAGACAUCUAAAUUGAACCAAAGGUUUACCGCUAAGGGAUGGGGAUGCGUCUGAUUAGGUAGUAGGCGGGGUAACGGCCCACCUAGCCGACGAUCAGUAGGGGUUCUGAGAGGAAGGUCCCCCACAUUGGAACUGAGACACGGUCCAAACUCCUACGGGAGGCAGCAGUGAGGAAUAUUGGUCAAUGGGCGCGAGCCUGAACCAGCCAAGUAAGCGUGCAGGACGACGGCCCUAUGGGUUGUAAACUGCUUUUAUACAGGGAUAAAGUCACCUACGUGUAGGUGUUUGUAGGUACUGUAUGAAUAAGGACCGGCUAAUUCCGUGCCAGCCGCGGC
rnacentral:rRNA from 1 species